rnacentral:tRNA from 1 species
GCGGCGAUGGCGGAAUGGCAGACGCGCUGGCCUCAGAAGCCAGUGUCCGCAAGGAUGUGUGGGUUCGACUCCCUCUCGCCGCA